UGGGAGCUCUGGUGUGGCCGGUCUGAUGC
rnacentral:piRNA from 1 species